GGGGGUAUAGCUCAGUGGUAGAGGAUUUGACUGCAGAUCAAGAGGUCCCUGGUUCAACCCCAGGAGCUAAUA